AUGACAACUGGUCGAGCCCAAAUAUUUUCUGUAAAUUUCGGCCCACAAUUGAACUACAGCGAAAGGAAUAGAAGUCGCAACACAAUACGACUGAACGAAUAUGAACAAUUCUUAACAAUUAGGUUUAAUUGUAGCUUUUCUAUGUUUUACAGUGCUGUGAACAUGAAGGAAAAGAAUACUAGCUCUGUUCUCAAGCGUAUUUUAGUGAAUUGUACUUCUCAGGCAAAAGCAUAUGGGAGUUGUGUUGCAGCUAAGGUUCCAGACAUUGAGCGUGAUGUGUGUUUAAAGGAGUUUCUGGUGUUAAAAAGUUGUAUGCAAAAUACGCUAAAAAAGAAGGGUUAA